rnacentral:rRNA from 1 species
UACGUAGGGCGAAGCGUUGUCCGGAAUUAUUGGGCGUAAAGAGCUCGUAGGCGGCUUGUCACGUCGGAUGUGAAAGCCCGGGGCUUAACCCCGGGUCUGCAUUCGAUACGGGCAGGCUAGAGUUCGGUAGGGGAGAUCGGAAUUCCUGGUGUAGCGGUGAAAUGCGCAGAUAUCAGGAGGAACACCGGUGGCGAAGGCGGAUCUCUGGGCCGAUACUGACGCUGAGGAGCGAAAGCGUGGGGAGCGAACAGG